rnacentral:lncRNA from 1 species
UCUCCUAGAGAGAUGAGACAGAAGGACCAGCCACUCCUUGAGAGAAGACAGAAGGACCAGCCUCUCCUAGAGAGAUGAGAGAGAAGGACCAGCCACUCCUAGAGAGAUGAGAGAGAAGGACCAGCUUCUCCUAGAGAGAUGAGAGAGAAGGACCAGCCACUCCUAGAGAGAUGAGACAGAAGGACCAGCUUCUCCUAGAGAGAUGAGAGAGAAGGCCCAGCUUCUCCUAGAGAGAUGAGAGAGAAGGACCAACCACUCCUAGAGAGAUGAGAGAGAAGGACCAGCCACUCCUAGAGAGAUGAGAGAGAAGGACCAGCUACUCCUAGAGAGAUGAGAGAGAAGAACCAGCCACUCUUAGAGAGAUGAGACAGAAGGACCAGCCACUCCUAGAGAGAAGACAGAAGGACCAGCCACUCCUAGAGAGAUGAGAGAGAAGGGCCAGCUUCUCCUAGAGAGAUGAGACAGAAGGGCCAGCUUCUCCUAGAGAGAUGUGACAGAAGGACCAGCUUCUCCUAGAGAGAUGAGAGAGAAGGACCAGCUUCUCCUAGAGAGAUGAGAGAGAAGGACCAGCUUCUCCUAGAGAGAUGACAGAGAAGGACCAGCUUCUCCUAGAGAGAAGAAAGAAAGACCAGCCUCUCCUAGAGAGAUGAGAAAGAAGGACCAGCUCCUCCUAGAGAGAUGAGAGAGAAGGACCAGCUUCUCCUAGAGAGAAGAGAGAAAGACCAGCUUCUCCUAGAGAGAUGAGACAGAAGGACCAGCUUCUCCUAGAGAGAUGAGAGAGAAAGACCAGCUUCUCCUAGAGAGAAGAAAGAAAGACCAGCUUCUCCUAGAGAGAUGAGAGAGAAGGACCAGCCACUCCUAGAGAGAUGAGAGAGAGGGACCAGCCACUCCUAGAGAGAUGAGAGAGAAGGACCAGCCACUCCUAGAGAGAUGAGACAGAAGGACCAGCUUCUCCUAGAGAGAUGAGAGAGAAGGCCAGCUUCUCCUAGAGAGAUGAGAGAGAAACCCCAG